rnacentral:lncRNA from 10 species
UGAGACUCCGUCUCAAAAAAAUAAAAAUAAAAAAAAAUAAAAGAAAAUCAAAACAGUGGACCUGGGCCUUGAACUCAGAUUUUUGGACUCCCAAGUCUGUGCUGUUUCCUCACCAGACCGCAACUUCUCUCUGGUUCUAAUAGUGAAAUGCUAUAGGAAUGAUUUUUUCCUGAAAAGAUGGUGCAUAUUUGACCUGAUUCAUUGAAACUGCUUGUCAU